rnacentral:rRNA from 1 species
CCCUUGAAAUACCACCCUGUUGUUAUUGAGGUUCUAACUUGGUCCAGUAAUCCUGGAUGAGGACAGUGUAUGAUGGGUAGUUUGACUGGGGCGGUCUCCUCCCAAAGAGUAACGGAGGAGCACAAAGGUACCCUCGGUACGGUCGGACAUCGUACCAAGAGUGUAAAGGCAAAAGGGUGCUUGACUGCGAGAGUGACGGCUCGAGCAGGAACGAAAGUUGGUCUUAGUGAUCCGGUGGUUCUGAAUGGAAGGGCCAUCGCUCAACGGAUAAAAGGUACUCCGGGGAUAACAGGCUGAUACCGCCCAAGAGUUCAUAUCGACGGCGGUGUUUGGCACCUCGAUGUCGGCUCAUCACAUCCUGGGGCUGAAGCAGGUCCCAAGGGUAUGGCUGUUCGCCAUUUAAAGUGGUACGCGAGCUGGGUUUAG